rnacentral:rRNA from 1 species
UACAGAGGGGGCAAGCGUUGUUCGGAAUUACUGGGCGUAAAGGGCGCGUAGGCGGCCGCCUAAGUCAGACGUGAAAUCCCUCGGCUCAACCGGGGAACUGCGUCUGAUACUGGGUGGCUUGAAUCCGGGAGAGGGAUGCGGAAUUCCAGGUGUAGCGGUGAAAUGCGUAGAUAUCAGGAGGAACACCGGUGGCGAAGGCGGUUCUCUGGGCAUGAUCUGACGCUGAGGAGCGAAAGUGUGGGGAGCGAACAGG